GGGGAUGUAGCUUAGUAGUUGAGUGCUUGCCUAGAAUGUAUGAGGCCCUGGGUUCAAUUCCCAGCAACACAA
rnacentral:tRNA from 1 species